rnacentral:tRNA from 1 species
CUCAGGUUGCAGCUCAGCGGUAGAGCGCUCACCUGGCACGUGCAAGGCGCUGGGUUCGAUCCUCAGCACCACAUA